AGGCAGCAGCGGUGAAUCUUCCGCAAUGGACGAAAGUCUGACGGAGCAACGCCGCGUGAGUGAUGAAGGUUUUCGGAUCGUAAAACUCUGUUGUUAGGGAAGAACAAGUACAAGGAGUAACUGCUUGUACCUUGACGGUACCUAACCAGAAAGCCACGGCUAACUACGUGCCAGCAGCCGCGGUAAUU
rnacentral:rRNA from 1 species